GUUAAUGAUUUAUGAAAGCACGCCUAGCAGUAGGCCAUGCCAACGUUGCCGGAAGCUUGAAGUUGGAAGCACGGCACGCAACGCGCAUAGCAUUAUAUUGACAUCAUCGAUCGCGGUGAGAACUCGUCAACAAUCUAGAAUCGGUUUUUCUUUAAAUUCAAUCUUCGGCCUACUGUUUGUCAGUCUGUCUGUACUUCAUCACGUGGCAGAAAGUUAUUCGCGACUACGAAGUUGAGUUUGACAGCUUAUGUGUGUGAAGUGGAAGUAAACAAGCAAAAGAAAAAAGUGAUAAAUUUUCAAACGUACCGUUUUCUUCGAUUUCAGUUUUGCUGUUUGAAAUGGAGCCUUCAAAAGGUGUUACGUGCACUGUGUUGAUGAACUUGUCGGAAGUUUUUAGCUACGCUGCCGGAGGAAUCCGUUCGGAUAGUUGGAGUAGAUGAGAUCUAUAAUGAUGGAUUUGUAUUAUUUUCGAUUUGUCUACGGUCAUCCUCCAAGUGUCGAGCCGCACACAAUAAAAGUUUUCACUAGCAGUGAACGCUCUGCUUGGUUAUUUGCAUGUACUUGCAAAACUAGUGAAUGAAAAUGCAAACAUGUGAUGGCUGUUUUGAAUCAUUGACUGAGGAACUCGACUCAAUAGAACGAUUAACAUCCAACGAGAUUAAAACGAGCGGCGGUCGGAUAUUCCGAACCGAUAACAUCAUGUUUGAAGGACAUUUGGCAUUUGUUCAUUAAGUAUAUUUUAUUGUCAGAUGAAUAAAUUUAAUAAAUACAUAAAUAUAUAAGUUUACAAAUUGACGACACGCAUUGAACGACAAUCGAUAAAAUUACAGCUCAACUCCUUAGUAGGGACAGAAAGCAGCGGGUACAGAAGAAGUCCUCAGAAUUACUCGCAUAGUUGGACGGUUCAAACCUGAGAACAGAAUACGAAUUACAGUUGUGAGAAUGUGAGCUUGAACAAUAUUCAAUACUUACUGGGGGGAACACAAUUAUUUGCCAGAGAAAUGUAAAUUGCACCCAAGUAGUUUACGUUGACUCGAUUCUGAAUCAUUGAAUCCAUGUUAUUUAUCGUUCAUUUUACUUGUUUGGGAAGGAUUGAAUCGAUAUACUAAAUCUGAAACAUAACACACUGUUCUCAUCAGAAUUACAAACACUGUCAUGAAAUGUUUUUGCAAGCCCAUUCGAGCAACUUUUCAGAUCCAUGACCUACAAUAUUCAAAGAAAAAAAUUCUAAAUAAAUCUCAAUUACCUUCCUCUGUAUUGUAAUGCACUGGAUUGCCGCAUUAAAAUAACUAAAAAUAGUUGUUUGAUCACAAAUUUCAAAUAUUGUCUUACCUAUGCGGAUUACUAGUG